GUAAAAGUGCAGAACCAGUAUAUCGUGAUGCAAAAGGGAAAGCUAUUUCAAAGGAAGAGCUACUGAAACCAAAGGAGGAAGAGAAACCAAAGG